GGGCCCGUAGCUCAGCCUGGAAGAGCAACGGGCUUUUAACCCGGAGGUCGCGGGUUCAAAUCCCGCCGGGCCCGCCA
rnacentral:tRNA from 1 species